AGCAGCCGCAGUAAUUCCAGCUCCAAUAGCGUAUAUUAAAGUUGUUGCAGUUAAAAAGCUCAUAGUUGAAUUUCGGAAUCAGUACGCCAGUCAUGCUUCGGUAUGUACUAGUGUCACUGAUUCCUUCCUUCUGACGAACCGUCAUGCCAUUAAUUUAGUGUGAUGUGGAAUCAGGACUGUUACUUUGAAAAAAUUGAGUGUUUAAAGAGGCUCGCGCUUGAAUACAUUAGCAUGGAAUAAUGAAAUAGGACGUUUGAUCUUAUUUUGUUGGUUUCUAGGAUCGAUGUAAUGAUUAAUAGGGAUAGUUGGGGGCAUUAGUAUUCAAUUGUCAGAGGUGAAAUUCUUGGAUUUAUUGAAGACUAACUACUGCGAAAGCAUUUGCCAAGGAUGUUUU
rnacentral:rRNA from 1 species